AUUGAACGCUGGCGUCAGGCCUAACACAUGCAAGUCGAACGAGUGGCGGACGGGUGAGUAAUGUCUGGGAAACUGCCUGAUGGAGGGGGAUAACUACUGGAAACGGUAGCUAAUACCGCAUACCAUCGGAUGUGCCCCUAUGGGAUUUGCUAGUGGGUGGGGUAAAGGCUCACCUAGUCGACGAUCCCGAGCUGGUCUGAGAGGAUGACCAGCCACACUGGAAAUGAGAAACGGUCCAGACUGCUACGGGAGGCAGCAGUGGAGAAUAUUGCACAAGGGGCGCAAGCCUGAUGCAGCCAUGCAGCGUGUAUGAAGAAGGCCUUCGGGUUGUAAAGUACUUUCAGCGGGGAGGCGUUACCCGCAGAAGAAGCACCGGCUAACUCCGUGCCAGCAGCCACGGUAAUAC
rnacentral:rRNA from 1 species